GACGAACGCUGGCGGCGUGCUUAACACAUGCAAGUCGAACGGUAAGGCCCUUCGGGGUACACGAGUGGCGAACGGGGGAGUAACACGUGGGUGAUCUGCCCUGCAUUUCGGGAUAAGCCUGGGAAACUGGGUCUAAUACCGGAUAGGACUCCUGGCUUCAUGGUUGGGGGUGGAAAGCUUUUGCGGUGUGGGAUGGGCCCGCGGCCUAUCAGCUUGUUGGUGGGGUAAUGGCCUACCAAGGCGACGACGGGUAGCCGGCCUGAGAGGGUGACCGGUCACACUGGGACUGAGAUACGGCCCAGACUCCUACGGGAGGCAGCAGUGGGGAAUAUUGCACAAUGGGCGCAAGCCUGAUGCAGCGACGCCGCGUGAGGGAUGACGGCCUUCGGGUUGUAAACCUCUUUCAGCACCGACGAAGCGCAAGUGACGGUAGGUGCAGAAGAAGGACCGGCCAACUACGUGCCAGCCGCCGCGGUAA
rnacentral:rRNA from 1 species